UUCCAGAGCUCUCGACCCGGAUCGACGACUCGACGACCCGAUAGUAGGACCCAACCGGAAUUUUCGUUUCCGGCGACGAAACGACGGCAGACGACCCACGUUCGUUUCCUCUCUUCAUCGCCGAUGCGUCGCUGGCCUCAUAUCGUCCAUUUGAUGACUGAUGGCGACGGUACGACGUCGAGAAGCUGCUGCAACCUUGGUAGUUUUCCGGUGAUUUCCGGCGACAGAUUAAGCUGCAUGAGCGUUUCCGGAGUUUUGAAUCGUCUCCGAUAGCGAUUCUAAUCCUGGAACUCAAAGGGGUGAUUGUAUUGGCUAGGCUGAGUUGACGAACCCAGAAUUGAUUAAGCUGGAGAUCGUCUUGCUGUGUUCGUCCGCCAGGGAGCAGACCUGCAAUAUGGGUUCUGUUCUUCAUCUACUUUGAUCACAAGGACUCCAGUUACCCGAGGAACGGAAGGUUCGCGACUCUCGGAGUACGUGAGAGAAAGCAUCGGAAUCCAGGUAGGGAUUCAGGACUCUCCUCGGUUGGUGAUUUUCUUUUAUAUUUUAUUAAUGUGAUGCAUGAUAAGUGGUAUGGGUUGGUUAUGUAAAAUGCAAUGCAUACUAACCAAUCUGUGAGAAAAUGUGUGAUGGCUUGAGAGCGAAGGGUGGCUCUGACUUCCUUGGGUUCGAUCCCCUUAACCUCCGGAGGGUUAGUUACGCCGGUCGUCCGGGUAUUCCGAUUGUAGUGACGGGCCCGGUACGUGUGUGUAGCUAGGUAGUGGACGCUCUCGCUACGCUUACCUGGUGAUAAAUUAAUUUGAGGUAAGGUCGUGUAGUGGGUCUAUGGGACCGGCCAUCAGGUAAUACUUGGAUUUGGCGCCGUAUUUAUUUAAGCAUCAUGCAUCGGUUUUCAAGUUGAAAAACAUUAAAGUUUGUCGUUCUUUUAAAUAUUUGGUUUAAAUAUGUUUUCAUACUGGGCAGCCCAAAUAUUUGUUUAUUGGUUUUAAGUCUAGUUGAGGUAGAGUUCCUGUUGAGCAGCGAGGACGAAAGCUCACCCCUACAACAGUAUGGAUGCAGGUACUGUGCACUGGUGACGGGACAAUAGCGGAUGGAGCUGGGUGUGCAGAACAAGUUCGGUAAAUUACCGUGUGGACCUUAUUCUAAAUUCUAUUUCUCGAACCUGAUGUUAUCUAGUCUCGUGUCAUCAUUUAGUUGAAUUCUCUUCAAGUGAAAUUCAAACCUUGGGUGAGCCUUUAUCCAAGUUCUGGACGAAUGAAAUAGAUUUCAGCAACUCAAGUUUUUCACCUCAAAAAUAUUUGUAGCUUCCGCUGUGUUUUUACAAAAAGUUU